GAUGAACGCUAGCGGCGUGCUUAAUGCAUGCAAGUCGAACGAUAAACCCUUCGGGGUCGAAAGUGGCGAACGGGUGAGUAAUGCGUUGGUGACCUGCCUUGUAGUGGGGGACAACCGCUGGAAACGGUGGCUAAUACCCCAGAUGCCAUUGUGUUUGGAAAACAAUGUCUAAAGCUACGGUGCUACAAAGAGGGGCCAACGUCCCAUCAGCUAGUUGGUGAGGUAACGGCUCACCAAGGCAAAGACGGUAGGGGCGUGAGAGCGUGACCCCCACCACUGGUACUGACACACGGACCGAGAUACCUACGGUAGGCAGCAGCAAGG
rnacentral:rRNA from 1 species